rnacentral:rRNA from 1 species
GAUGAACGCUGGCGGCGUGCCUAACACAUGCAAGUCGAGCGAAUCGCUUACAUCAGCUUUCUUCGGAAUGACGAUUUUUGUGACUGAGCGGCGGACGGGUGAGUAACGCGCGGGUAAUGCGACCCCUACAGGGGGAUAACAGUUAGAAAUGACUGCUAAUACCGCAUAAGAUCCCAGCUUCGCAUGAAGCGGUGGUAAAAACUCCGGUGGUAUGAGGUGGACCCGCGUCGGAUUAGCGAGUUGGUAAGGUAACGGCUACCAAGGCGACGAUCAGUAGCCGACCUGAGAGGGUGACCGGACACUGUGGCACUGGGACACGGCCCAGACGACUACGGGAGACAGGAGUAGGGAAUAUUGCAAAAUGGGGGAAACCCUGAUGCGGCCACGCCGCGUGAAGGAUGAAGUUUUUAGGUAUGUAAAGUUCUAUCAGCAGGGAGGAAAGUGACGGUACCUGACCAAGAAGCCCCGGCUAACUACGUG